rnacentral:rRNA from 1 species
GACGAACGCUGGCGGCGUGCUUAACACAUGCAAGUCGAACGAAGUGGCGAACGGGUGAGUAAUACGUGGGCAACCUGCUCUCCUUUUUGGGAUAAGCCUUGGAAACGGGGACUAACAUCGACUAAAGGGGGAUUGGCUCGCGGCCUAUCAGCGUGUUGGUGGGGUGAUGGCCUACCAAGGCGGUGACGGGUAGCAGGCCUGAGAGGGUGACGAGCAACAGAGGGACAGAGAUACGGCCCAGAGUCCUACGCGGGGGAGCAGUGUGGGAUAUUGGACAAUGGGCGAAAGCCUGAUGCAGCGUCGCCGCGUGGGGGAUGAGGGCUUUCGGGUUGUAAACGUCUUUCGCUAUCGAACAGGUAGGUGGGGAAGAGGCGCCGGCUAACUACGUGCCAGCAGCCGCGGUAAUAC